UACGAAGGGGGCUAGCGUUGCUCGGAAUCACUGGGCGUAAAGGGUGCGUAGGCGGGUCUUUAAGUCAGGGGUGAAAUCCUGGAGCUCAACUCCAGAACUGCCUUUGAUACUGAAGAUCUUGAGUUCGGGAGAGGUGGGUGGAACUGCGAGUGUAGAGGUGAAAUUCGUAGAUAUUCGCAAGAACACCAGUGGCGAAGGCGGCUCACUGGCCCGAUACUGACGCUGAGGAGCGAAAGCGUGGGGAGCGAACAGG
rnacentral:rRNA from 1 species